GUCAGGAUACUCAUCUGUCAGUCUCUUUCUCAGUGAUGACGACCAAUCAUCAAGUUCAUCUGAUCCAUCCCUCCACAGUGAUUGGUCAAAUGGAAAAAUGAUUGCUUUAAAGAAACUAGAAAAAAGUGACCCAAACAAGUAUCAAACAUGGCGACUUCUGCAGAAACAGAAGAAACUCAUUCAAAUGCAACAAAAAUGUUUUUUGGCCGACCUCCCACCUGAUUAGUGAG